rnacentral:rRNA from 1 species
UACGGAGGGUGCAAGCGUUAUCCGGAUUCACUGGGUUUAAAGGGUGCGUAGGUGGGCAGGUAAGUCAGUGGUGAAAUCUCCGGGCUUAACCCGGAAACUGCCAUUGAUACUAUCUGUCUUGAAUACCGUGGAGGUGAGCGGAAUAUGUCAUGUAGCGGUGAAAUGCUUAGAUAUGACAUAGAACACCGAUUGCGAAGGCAGCUCGCUAAACUUAUAUUGACGCUGAGGCACGAAAGCGUGGGGAUCAAACAGG